ACUCGAGUGGCGAACGGGUGAGUAACACGUGGGUGAUCUGCCCUGCACUUCGGGAUAAGCCUGGGAAACUGGGUCUAAUACCGGACAGGAGCCAUUUUUAGUGUGAUGGUUGGAAAGUUUUUUCGGUGUAGGAUGAGCUCGCGGCCUAUCAGCUUGUUGGUGGGGUAAUGGCCUACCAAGGCGGCGACGGGUAGCCGGCCUGAGAGGGUGGACGGCCACAUUGGGACUGAGAUACGGCCCAG
rnacentral:rRNA from 1 species